rnacentral:tRNA from 2 species
UCCUGACUAGCUCAGUUGGUAGAGCUUGAGACUCUUAAUCUCAGGGUCGUGGGUUCAAGCCCCAUGUUGGGUG